rnacentral:rRNA from 1 species
GAUGAACGCUAGCUACAGGCUUAACACAUGCAAGUCGAGGGGAAACGACAUCGAAAGCUUGCUCUUGGUGGGCGUCGACCGGCGCACGGGUGAGUAACGCGUAUCCAACCUGCCCACCACUUGGGGAUAACCUUGCGAAAGUAAGACUAAUACCCAAUGAUAUCCCACGAAGGCAUCCGAAUGGGAUUAAAGAUUUAUCGGUGAUGGAUGGGGAUGCGUCUGAUUAGCUUGUUGGCGGGUAACGGCCCACCAAGGCAACGAUCAGUAGGGGUUCUGAGAGGAAGGUCCCCCANAUUGGAACUGAGACACGGUCCAAAACUCCUACGGGAGGCAGCAGUGAGGAAUAUUGGUCAAUGGGCAGAGCCUGAACCAGCCAAGUAGCGUGCAGGACGACGGCCCUAUGGGUUGUAAACUGCUUUUAUAAGGGAAUAAAGUGGGUCACGUGUGACUUUUUGCAUGUACCUUAUGAAUAAGGACCGGCUAAUUCCGUG